AACGAACGCUGGCGGCAGGCUUAACACAUGCAAGUCGAGCGCGGUCUUUCGGGACUGAGCGGCGGACGGGUGAGUAACGCGUGGGAACGUGCCCCUUUCUUCGGAAUAGCCUCGGGAAAC
rnacentral:rRNA from 1 species